rnacentral:rRNA from 1 species
CCUACGGGAGGCUGCAGUAGGGAAUCUUCCACAAUGGACGAAAGUCUGAUGGAGCAACGCCGCGUGAGGGAUGAAGGGUUUCGGCUCGUAAAACACUGUUGUAAGAGAAGAAUGACAUUGAGAGUAACUGUUCAGUGUGUGACGGUAUCUUACAAGAAAGGAACGGCUAAAUACGUGCCAGCAGCCGCGGUAAUACGUAUGUUCCAAGCGUGAACCGGAUUUAUUGGGCGUAAAGCGAGCGCAGACGGUUGUGUAAGUCAGAAGUGAAAUCCCACAGCUUAACUGUGGAAGUGCUAUGGAAACUGGAGAACUUGAGUGCAGUAGAGGAGAGUGGAACUCGAUGUGUAGCGGUGAAAUGCGUAGAUAUAUGGAAGAACACCAGUGGCGAAGGCGGCUCUCUGGACUGUAACUGACGUUGAGGCUCGAAAGUGUGGGUAGCAAACAGGAUUAGAUACCCUUGUAGUC